rnacentral:snRNA from 1 species
UGGAAAUGCCUCACACAUU